rfam:Schistosoma mattheei strain Denwood, Zambia genome assembly, scaffold: SMTD_scaffold0002428
AUCCAGCUGACGAGUCUCAAAUAGGACGAAACGUCAGUCUUAGAU